AGUGGCAAAGGAUGUGCGUUUGCUCAGACAACCAGGAUGUUGGCUUAGAAGCAGCCAUUCAUUUAAAGAGUGCGUAAUAGCUCACUGGUCGAGUGGACAUGCGCCGACAAUAUACGGGGCUAAGCAUUGUACCGAAGCGGCGGAUCAGUACUUUGUACUGGUGGUAGGAGAGCUUUCUGUACGGGUUGAAGCAGUUGGAUAACCAACUGUGGACUGUCCAGAAGUGAGAAUGCUGGCAUGAGUAACGAGAGACAUGUAAAAAACAUGUCCGCCGUAAACCCAAGGUUUCCUGGGCAAGGCUAAUCCUCCCAGGGUUAGGCGGGAGCUAAGGCAAGGCCGGAAGGCGUAGUCGAUGCACAACAGGUAGAAAUUCCUGUCCCUCCAAAAGAGCGUUAUCACCAAUGGGGUGACGGAGCAGGGUAGCUAGGCGGGGUUCUGGACGUCCCCGUGAUGGCACGUAGGCUGAGAAGUAGUGAAAUGCGCUUCUCGUGAUGGCUGAGGUGUCGGACGAAGCAAUUGAGUGAAGCUAGUAAGCCCAUACUUCCAAGAAAAACCUCUAGGGAGCUCUGAGGAGCCCGUACCGCAAACCGACACAGGUGGGUGGGUAGAGCAUACCAAGGCGAUCGGGAGAACUAUGGUUAAGGAACUCGGCAAAAUUGCCCCGUAACUUCGGGAGAAGGGGUGCCGGUUUCGGUGAAGGGAUUUACUCCCCGAGCUAAGAUCGGUCACAGUAAAUAGGUCCAAGCGACUGUUUAUCAAAAACACAGGACUCUGCUGAAGUCGUAAGACGACGUAUAGGGUCUGACGCCUGCCCGGUGCCGGAAGGUCACGAGGAGUUGUUAGCAUUAGCGAAGCAGCGAAUCUAAGCCCCGGUAAACGGCGGCCGUAACUAUAACGGUCCUAAGGUAGCGAAAUUCCUUGUCGGGUAAGUUCCGACCUGCACGAAAGGCGUAACGAUUUGGACGCUGUCUCAACCAUAGACCCGGUGAAAUUGCACUAGUCGUGAAGAUGCGACUUACCCGCAGAAGGACGAGAAGACCCCGUGAACCUUUACUGCAGCUUGACAUUGGCUGCCGGUUCGUCGUGUAGAGGAUAGGUGGGAGACUUUGAACCAGGGACGCCAGUCUCUGGGGAGUCACCCUUGGAAUACCACCCUCGACGUUCUGGCAUCCUAACUUGCGACCGUUAUCCGGCGUGAGGACCGUGUCAGGUGGGUAGUUUGACUGGGGCGGUCGCCUCCUAAAAUGUAACGGAGGCGCACGUAAGGUCUGCUCAGGAUGGUCGGCAACCAUCCUUUUGAGUGCAAGAGCAUAAGCAGGCUUGACUGCGAGGCCUACAAGCCGAGCAGAUGGGAAACCAGGUUCUAGUGAUCCGGCGGCUCAGAGUGGUAUGGCCGUCGCUCAACGGACAAAAGGUACUCCGGGGAUAACAGGCUGAUCUUCCCCAAGAGUCCACAUCGACGGGAAGGUUUGGCACCUCGAUGUCGGCUCAUCGCAUCCUGGGGCUGGAGCAGGUCCCAAGGGUUGGGCUGUUCGCCCAUUAAAGCGGUACGCGAGCUGGGUUCAGAACGUCGUGAGACAGUUCGGUCCCUAUCCUCUGUGGGCGUAGGAAAAUUGAGGGAGGCUGCCCCUAGUACGAGAGGACCGGGGUGGACGGACCUCCGGUGUACGGGUUGUUAACCAAUAGCAUUGCCCGGUAGCUGAGUCCGGUCGGGAUAACCGCUGAAAGCAUCUAAGCGGGAAGCCCAUCCCAAGAUGAGUUUUCCUUUCGGUAAGACCCCUUGUAGACUACGAGGUUGAUAGGAUGCAGAUGUAAGUGCUGUAAGGCAUUCAGUCGAGCAUUACUAAUCGGUCGAGCUCUUCUUUUC
rnacentral:rRNA from 1 species